rnacentral:rRNA from 1 species
CCUACGUGAGGCAGCAGUGAGGCAUAUUGGUCAAUGGUCGGGAGACUGCACCAGCCAAGCCGCGUGAGGGAGGAAGGUACAGAGUAUCGUAAACCUCUUUUGUCAGGGAACAAAGACUGGGACGCGUCCCCGGAUGAGUGUACCUGAAGAAAAAGCAUCGGCUAACUACGUGCCAGCAGCCGCGGUAAUACGGAGGAUGCGAGCGUUAUCCGGAUUUAUUGGGUUUAAAGGGUGCGCAGGCGGUCUGUUAAGUCAGCGGUCAAAGCCCGGGGCUCAACCCCGGCCCGCCGUUGAAACUGGCAGUAUCGAGUUGGAGAGAAGUAUGCGGAAUGCGCGGUGUAGCGGUGAAAUGCAUAGAUAUCGCGCAGAACUCCGAUUGCGAAGGCAGCAUGCCGGCUCCACACUGACGCUGAGGCACGAAAGCGUGGGUAUCGAACAGGAUUAGAUACCCCAGUAGUC